rnacentral:rRNA from 1 species
CUCCUACGGGAGGCAGCAGUAGGGAAUCUUCCGCAAUGGGCGCAAGCCUGACGGAGCAACGCCGCGUGAGUGAGGAAGGCCUUCGGGUUGUAAAACUCAGUCACCUGGGAAGAGAGGUAUGGGGAGUGGAAUGUCCCAUACGAGACGGUACCAGGGGAGGAAGCCCCGGCUAACUACGUGCCAGCAGCCGCGGUAAUACGUAGGGGGCAAGCGUUGUCCGGAAUCACUGGGCGUAAAGCGUGCGUAGGCGGUCUUUCAAGUCCGGGGUGAAAACUCAAGGCUCAACCUUGAGAAUGCCUUGGAAACUGGGGGUCUUGAGUACUGGAGAGGCAAGGGGAAUUCCACGUGUAGCGGUGAAAUGCGUAGAGAUGUGGAGGAAUACCAGUGGCGGAGGCGCCUUGCUGGACAGUGACUGACGCUGAGGCACGAAAGCGUGGGGAGCAAACAGGAUUAGAUACCCUGGUAGUCCAUGCCGUAAACGAUGAGUGCUAGGUGUUGGGGGUUCAUCCCCUCAGUGCCGAAGGAAACCCAAUAAGCACUCCGCCUGGGGAGUACGGUCGCAAGACUGAAACUCAAAGGAAUUGACGGGGGCCCGCACAAGCAGUGGAGCAUGUGGUUUAAUUCGAAGCAACGCGAAGAACCUUACCAGGGCUUGACAUCCCUCUGACCGGUUCAGAGAUGGACCUUCCCUUCGGGGCAGAGGAGACAGGUGGUGCAUGGUUGUCGUCAGCUCGUGUCGUGAGAUGUUGGGUUAAGUCCCGCAACAAGCGCAACCCUUGACCUGUGUUACCAGCACGUAAUGGUGGGGACUCACAGGUGACUGCCGGCGUAAGUCGGAGGAAGGUGGGGAUGACGUCAAAUCAUCAUGCCCUUUAUGUCCUGGGCUACACACGUGCUACAAUGGGCGGUACAACGGGAAGCGAGACCGCGAGGUGGAGCGAAACCCAAAAAGCCGUUCGUAGUUCGGAUUGCAGGCUGCAACCCGCCUGCAUGAAGCCGGAAUUGCUAGUAAUCGCGGAUCAGCAUGCCGCGGUGAAUCCGUUCCCGGGCCUUGCACACACCGCCCGU